rnacentral:rRNA from 1 species
UACGUAGGGGGCGAGCGUUGUCCGGAGUUACUGGGCGUAAAGCGCACGUAGGCGGCUUUGUAAGUUAGAGGUGAAAGCCCGGGGCUCAACCCCGGAAUAGCCUUUAAGACUGCAUCGCUUGAAUCCGGGAGAGGUGAGUGGAAUUCCGAGUGUAGAGGUGAAAUUCGUAGAUAUUCGGAAGAACACCAGUGGCGAAGGCGGCUCACUGGACCGGUAUUGACGCUGAGGUGCGAAAGCGUGGGGAGCAAACAGG